UACGAAGGGGACUAGUGUUGUUCGGAAUUACUGGGCGUAAAGCGCACGUAGGCGGAUUUGUUAGUCAGGGGUGAAAUCCCGGGGCUCAACCUCGGAACUGCCUUUGAUACUGCAAAUCUCGAGUCCGAUAGAGGUGGGUGGAAUUCCUAGUGUAGAGGUGAAAUUCGUAGAUAUUAGGAAGAACACCGGUGGCGAAGGCGGCCCACUGGAUCGGUACUGACGCUGAGGUGCGAAAGCGUGGGGAGCAAACAGG
rnacentral:rRNA from 1 species